UACGUAGGUGGCAAGCGUUGUCCGGAAUUAUUGGGCGUAAAGCGCGCGCAGGCGGUCCUUUAAGUCUGAUGUGAAAGCCCACGGCUCAACCGUGGAGGGUCAUUGGAAACUGGGGGACUUGAGUGCAGAAGAGGGGAGCGGAAUUCCACGUGUAGCGGUGAAAUGCGUAGAGAUGUGGAGGAACACCAGUGGCGAAGGCGGCUCUCUGGUCUGUAACUGACGCUGAGGCGCGAAAGCGUGGGGAGCAAACAGG
rnacentral:rRNA from 1 species